rnacentral:rRNA from 1 species
UUCCGGUUGAUCCUGCCGGAGGCGACCGCUUUGGGAGUUCGAUUAAGCCAUGCGAGUCGUGAGUCUUAGGGACUCGGCAUACUGCUCAGUAACACGUGGAUAACCUGCCCUAUCGUCUGGAAUAACCUCGGGAAACUGAGAACAAGGCCGGAUAGUUCACAAUGCCUGGAACGGUUUGUGAAUCAAGGUAGGAUGGGUCUGCGGCGUAUCAGGUUGUAGGGGGUGUAAAGGACCCCCUAGCCUUCGACGCGUACGGGUGUUGGGAGACAUAGCCCGGAGAUGGAUUCUGAGACACGAAUCCAGACCCUACGGGGUGCAGCAGGCGCGAAAACUUCACACUGCAGGAAACUGUGAUGAGGGAACUCCUAGUGCAUGCACUAUGUGUAUGUAGAUCCUACUCUUAACAAGUAGAGGGAAAGGGCUGGGAAAGACCGGUGCCAGCCGCCGCGGUAAUACCGGCAGCUCAAGUGGUCGUCGCUUUUAUUGGGCCUAAAACGUCCGUAGCCUGUUUGGUAAAUCUGUGGGUAAAUCAAUCCGCUCAACGGAUUGAAUUCUGCAGAGACUGCCAGACUAGGGACCGGGAGAGGUGUGGGGUACUCGAGGGGUAGGGGUAAAAUCCUGUCAUCCUUCGAGGACCACCAGUUGCGAAGGCGCCACACUGGAACGGAUCCGACGGUCAGGGACGAAGCCUAGGGGCACGAACCGGAUUAGAUACCCGGGUAGUCCUAGGUGUAAACGCUGUGAACUUGGUGUCGGGGGUCCGCAAGGGGUCCCCGGUGCCGGAGUGGAGAUGUUAAGUUCACUGCCUGGGGAGUACGGUCGCAAGGCUGAAACUUAAAGGAAUUGGCGGGGGAGCACUGCAACGGGAGGAGCGUGCGGUUUAAUUGGAUUCAACGCCGGA